CUCUACUAUUAUCUAGUAUUACUAUAUUUUUCCAUUAACAUAAAAAAGCAUAUUCUUUCUCAUUUUUAUUGAAUAAAUAAAAGUAAUAAAUAAGCAAAAUUUUCAUUUUUAUCUAGAAUUUAAAUUGUAAAAAAAAAAAACUUCAUAAAAGAUUAGGAAAAGUAAAAGUAUAUGAUAUAGAAACCUAUAAUAUAAAUGAAUACAAAUAAAAACAAACAAAUCGAACCAAAUUAUAAAAAGUACUUGUUAUUUUUAAAGUUUAAAGAAACUAUGUAAGGCAAAUAGUACUAAAUAAAAAAAGGAGCAAUAACGCCCUCUUGUUUUAUCAAGAGGGAAGCUAUUGCUCCUUUUUUAGUUCAAAAACUCCUAUACAAUCAGACCAAAGUC
rnacentral:misc_RNA from 1 species